ensembl:lncRNA
CUACAAGUCAGUCCUGUCUCCUCGCGUAAUCUGAUAUGACCACAGCUGCUGCUGCCAGGGAAUGUUUCCCACGUCCCUCAGCUGUAGGGCUGCUCAAACUGCACCUGAGCAGCAAAUGUCUGAGUUCUCACCCAGUUACUUAGAGGAACCUAGAGGUUGUGAGAGCUUAGAUUUUCUUUGUGAGCUUGAAUAAAACCAAGAGAAGUAAAAAUUACUGAUGUUGGUGUUGCACUGAAAGAAACAGGAAAUAAUGAUCUGUACAGUUACUCUGUGCGUGUCCCAGCUCCCUGAUGGGACUGAGAUGUCUGAAGUGGUUUCAGCUCGGUGGAAAUGAAGCGUGAAAACAUGAAAAUGAAAAACAAAAAGUGAAGCUCUUCUACAUCUGUGAAUGGUUACCUUCCAUGGUCCCCAGAGGAACUGCAAUCAAGCAGUUAUGGUGUGAAAGGUGAGGUACAUGAAAAUAGCAUACUGCGUUAGAAUAUGCCUCUGGACCAAAUUCUGAGAAGAGAAGAGAAGAGAAGAGAAGAGAAGAGAAGAGAAGAGAAGAGAAGAGAAGAGAAGAGAAGAGAAGAGAAGAGAAGAGAAGAGAAGAGAAGAGAAGAGAAGAGAUUACAUAAUCGCAGAGAUUUGGGUCUCUUUUGCUGUAGUUUAAUGUUGGUUAAACUCUACUGACAGGAGUGAAACUAUUUUUCAUUUACUUGAGAAUACGUGACACCAGAGAUUCAUUUUUACAUACUAUGUCUUUAUGUUUCCUAAUAUAAGGUAAUGAUGCUAUGCACCUGUUAAAAAAAAAAUGAUUUCUCAUGCUGAUGAUUUGUAUUAUCUUAAAGUAUCACCUGUGAGGGUGGGGGGUGGGACAGACAUUGCUUUAUUUUAAUAAAUUUAGAAAUUCAAUAUCUGUUAAAAUGUUCCUGUAAUUUUUGUUACACAAGUAACCACAUGAUAUCAUGAAAAUCAAGCUUCUGUUUGCCAGGAUGCAGAGAGAUUUGUAGCUUACCAAGAAUAAUUGAAAACUGGGGGCAGUGACCAGCCCUUUCCCUUCUCCAGUCACACUUUCCUGAGAUCAGAUUCAUUCUGUUCCACUGACAAUGGAAAUAGAAAAUAUCAGCGCACCUCAGCUUAUUAGAUGAUAAAGCCAAAUUCAAAUUUAAAAUCUUAACCGCCGCCAAAGAAAAAGCAGAAGUUGAGAUGUAGACAAUGGACUCUAAUCUCAUUAUCACACCACCUCUCUAAUGUGUGCUCUGGGAGUCAUCUGUGGAACUUUAAAACUUGAUCAUGCUCCUAUUUUGUAAGAACGGGACAAUACAGGACUGUUACGAUUUCUUUUUAUAUACAAAAUAAAAUACCUUUUCAAAGUAGCAAACAACAGAUUUUCUGUAGGAAUCAAGAAUAAUGAAGUAAUAAUAGCUGGUUUGGCAUGCUACUCAUUGGUUCAGUAUGAGCAUGACUUGCUUCAUUGUGUAGUUUAUAUGUAGAUUCAUUAUGAGCAAAAGCACAAUUUACUGGAGCAUUAUUUCCUGAAAGGCUUGUUUUAUGCAUCAUCUAUUUUUCUGGCACCUUACAACCAUGUUUAACCUGUAUAAAAUUAACUGUAUUUAUAGGUGAUAUCUAAACGAGCGGAACAUGACUUUUUUCUCCAGCCUAUUUCCUAAAUCAGAUACAGUAGUUUACCUCAGAACAGAACAAACCUGGUGAAUUUUAGUUCUGGUGAGACCUCUGCAGCCAGCUCCAUUUCUACCUUAUAAUAACAGGAGGCAGAUUGCCCACGGAAAUUUACUUUGUUCUUUAAAAUCACAUACUGUAGAUCAGCUGGAAUAUGACUAAUCUCCCAGAAGGGAUUUUGGGCCAGAACAUAUUCCCUAAAAAAAGAACAAAAAACUUUUGCUUAUUAAAAAAAGAAAAAGAGAAAGAUGGAUGGAUGGAUGGAUGGAAGGAAGGAAGGAAGGAAGGAAGGAAGGAAGGAAGGAAGGAAGGAAGGAAGGAAGGAAAGAAAAGAAAGAAGGAAAGAGAGAAAGAGAGAAAGAGAGAAAGAGAGAAAGAGAGAAAGAGAGAAAGAGAGAAAGAAAGAAAGAAAGAAAGAAAGAAAGAAAGAAAGAAAGAAAGAAAGAAAGAAAGAAAGAAAGAAAGAAAGAAAGAAAGAAAGAAAGAAAGAAAGGGGGGAAAAAAAAGGUGUUUUACCUCCACUAGAAAUACUUUUUCCAUGUAAUGUAGAAGAUGAAUUCCAAUAAUUAAACAAGUAAUGGUUUUGUAAAGUGGUAAGGGGAGAAGAGUUUUCUUUUGUGUAGAUCGGAAUACCACCUGCUGCCAAAGUACAGGUCUAUUUGUCUCACAGAAUUCCACAUUCCAAUGGUAGCUAGCCAUCCCACAUCUCAGUGACUGCUCUAUGGUUUACUGAUCAAAUUACUGUCCUUUCUAGCAUCUGCAGUAUUUUUGUAUCAAAGGAACUCACGUACUAUUCACCUUCAGUAACCUUUGUAAUAGUUGACAUUUCUUUAUAUCGGAAACUUCUUCAGGUCAAAUACUGAAUAAAAGCUCUUUUACCUACAUACAAUAAUGACUACCUUCAAUGCACACGCAGUCCAAGGACCCAGUUCCUCAAAGUUCACCUUGAUUUUCAAUUCAAUUCAGACUCCACAUCUUAUUCAGCGGAUAUUCAUAUAUAUUUAGAAAGUGAAAUAUGUGGGAAGCAGAAAGUUUUCACUUAGAGGUCAUUAUAGUUCUCUAUGAUUGUAAUAUGAAAUGAUCUUCCAGAAAAAUCCCAAACCUAUGCUUUUUUCCUAAAUCUACUUUUCCCCAAAGAAUAUUCAUAUGGCAUGCUGGUCUCUCUUUCCAUCUUUCUGUCUUUCUAUCUUUCUCUCUCUCUCUCUCUCUCUCUCUCCCCCCCUCCCCUCUCCUCUCCUCUCCUCCCCUCUCCUCUCCUCCCCUCC